UGGCUCAGGACGAACGCUGGCGGCGUGCUUAACACAUGCAAGUCGAACGAGGAUAUACCAGAGGAGAGCUUCGGCAGGAAUCGGGAAUAUCGAGUGGCGGACGGGUGAGUAACGCGUGAGCAACCUGUCCCAGACAGGGGGAUAACACUUGGAAACAGGUGCUAAUACCGCAUAAGACCACGGUAUCACAUGGUAGUGGGGUAAAAGGAGCAAUCCGGUUUGGGGUGGGCUCGCGUCCGAUUAGAUAGUUGGUGAGGUAACGGCCCACCAAGUCGACGAUCGGUAGCCGACCUGAGAGGGUGAUCGGCCACAUUGGAACUGAGAGACGGUCCAAACUCCUACGGGAGGCAGCAGUGGGGAAUAUUGGGCAAUGGGCGAAAGCCUGACCCAGCAACGCCGCGUGAGUGAAGAAGGCCUUCGGGUUGUAAAGCUCUGUUAUAGUUGACGAAGGAAGUGACGGUAGGCUAUAAGGAAGCCCCGGCUAACUACGUGCCAGCCGCAGC
rnacentral:rRNA from 1 species